AACGCUGGCGGCGUGCCUAAUACAUGCAAGUCGAGCGAACAGACGAGGAGCUUGCUCCUCUGACGUUAGCGGCGGACGGGUGAGUAACACGUGGAUAACCUACCUAUAAGACUGGGAUAACUUCGGGAAACCGGAGCUAAUACCGGAUAAUAUAUUGAACCGCAUGGUUCAAUAGUGAAAGACGGUUUUGCUGUCACUUAUAGAUGGAUCCGCGCCGCAUUAGCUAGUUGGUAAGGUAACGGCUUACCAAGGCAACGAUGCGUAGCCGACCUGAGAGGGUGAUCGGCCACACUGGAACUGAGACACGGUCCAGACUCCUACGGGAGGCAGCAGUAGGGAAUCUUCCGCAAUGGGCGAAAGCCUGACGGAGCAACGCCGCGUGAGUGAUGAAGGUCUUCGGAUCGUAAAACUCUGUUAUUAGGGAAGAACAAAUGUGUAAGUAACUAUGCACGUCUUGACGGUACCUAAUCAGAAAGCCACGGCUAACUACGUGCCAGCAGCCGCGGUAAUACGUAGGUGGCAAGCGUUAUCCGGAAUUAUUGGGCGUAAAGCGCGCGUAGGCGGUUUUUUAAGUCUGAUGUGAAAGCCCACGGCUCAACCGUGGAGGGUCAUUGGAAACUGGAAAACUUGAGUGCAGAAGAGGAAAGUGGAAUUCCAUGUGUAGCGGUGAAAUGCGCAGAGAUAUGGAGGAACACCAGUGGCGAAGGCGACUUUCUGGUCUGUAACUGACGCUGAUGUGCGAAAGCGUGGGGAUCAAACAGGAUUAGAUACCCUGGUAGUCCACGCCGUAAACGAUGAGUGCUAAGUGUUAGGGGGUUUCCGCCCCUUAGUGCUGCAGCUAACGCAUUAAGCACUCCGCCUGGGGAGUACGACCGCAAGGUUGAAACUCAAAGGAAUUGACGGGGACCCGCACAAGC
rnacentral:rRNA from 1 species